UACGAAGGGUGCAAGCGUUACUCGGAAUUACUGGGCGUAAAGCGUGCGUAGGUGGUGAGUUAAGUCUGUCGUGAAAGCCCCGGGCUCAACCUGGGAAUGGCGGUGGAUACUGGCUCGCUAGAGUGCGGUAGAGGAGAAUGGAAUUCCCGGUGUAGCGGUGAAAUGCGUAGAGAUCGGGAGGAACAUCAGUUGCGAAGGCGGCUCUCUGGGCCAGCACUGACACUGAGGCGCGAAAGCGUGGGGAGCAAACAGG
rnacentral:rRNA from 1 species